AACUGCAACAGCACCCGAGAUCCGCCCACAAAGCUACUUGCGUUUGGCGUUUGAUAGUUGCGUUUCAGAUCGUUAAAAUGAGGCCCUUGACUCCAAAUGAGCAUGAUGACGCCAGCCACUGCUUGUUUGUCUGGUGAGUAAAGUGAAAAACUGAAUGGAAGUAGGAAUUAGAAUUUACUUAAUAUAUAAAAAAUAAAAAAGGAAUA